CAGGCUUAACACAUGCAAGUCGAGGGGCAGCAUGGUCUUAGCUUGCUAAGGCCGAUGGCGACCGGCGCACGGGUGAGUAACGCGUAUCCAACCUGCCUUACACUCUUGGACAGCCUUCUGAAAGGGAGAUUAAUACAAGAUGUUAUCAUGAGUAAGCAUUUUCGCAUGAUUAAAGGUUUACCGGUGUAAGAUGGGGAUGCGUUCCAUUAGAUAGUAGGCGGGGUAACGGCCCACCUAGUCUUCGAUGGAUAGGGGUUCUGAGAGGAAGGUCCCCCACAUUGGAACUGAGACACGGUCCAAACUCCUACGGGAGGCAGCAGUGAGGAAUAUUGGUCAAUGGACGAGAGUCUGAACCAGCCAAGUAGCGUGAAGGAUGAAGGUUCUAUGGAUUGUAAACUUCUUUUAUACGGGAAUAAACGAAUCCACGUGUGGAUUUUUGCAUGUACCGUAUGAAUAAGGAUCGGCUAACUCCGUGCCAGCAGCCGCGGUAAUACGGAGGAUCCGAGCGUUAUCCGGAUUUAUUGGGUUUAAAGGGAGCGUAGAUGGGUUGUUAAGUUAGUUGUGAAAGUUUGCGGCUCAACCGUAAAAUUGCAAUUGAUACUGGCAGUCUUGAGUACAGUUGAGGUAGGCGGAAUUCGUGGUGUAGCGGUGAAAUGCUUAGAUAUCACGAAGAACUCCGAUUGCGAAGGCAGCUUACUAACCUGUAACUGACAUUGAUGCUCGAAAGUGUGGGUAUCAAACAGGAUUAGAUACCCUGGUAGUCCACACGGUAAACGAUGAAUACUCGCUGUAGGCGAUAUACAGUCUGCGGCCAAGCGAAAGCAUUAAGUAUUCCACCUGGGGAGUACGCCGGCAACGGUGAAACUCAAAGGAAUUGACGGGGGCCCGCACAAGCGGAGGGACAUGUGGUUUAAUUCGAUGAUACGCGAGGAACCUUACCCGGGCUUAAAUUGCAACCGAAUAUGGCGGAAACGCUAUAGCUAGCAAUAGCGGUUGUGAAAGUGCUGCAUGGUUGUCGUCAGCUCGUGCCGUGAGGUGUCGGCUUAAGUGCCAUAACGAGCGCAACCCUUGCCGAUAGUUACUAACAGGUCAUGCUGAGGACUCUGUCGGGACUGCCAUCGUAAGAUGUGAGGAAGGUGGGGAUGACGUCAAAUCAGCACGGCCCUUACGUCCGGGGCUACACACGUGUUACAAUGGGGGGUACAGAGGGCUGCUACCACGCAAGUGGAUGCCAAUCCCAAAAACCUCUCUCAGUUCGGAUUGAAGUCUGCAACCCGACUUCAUGAAGCUGGAUUCGCUAGUAAUCGCGCAUCAGCCACGGCGCGGUGAAUACGUUCCCGGGCCUUGUACACACCGCCCGUCAAGCCAUGGGAGCCGGGGGUACCUGAAGUGCGUAACCGCAAGGAGCGCCCUAGGGUAAAACUGGUGACUGGG
rnacentral:rRNA from 1 species